UUUACCUCUCAUGACCGUCGUCUGUUGUCCCCGCCGUCGGGGGAGGGACGUAUCUACAUUCCUUUCCCCUCGCCCCCGCCUUCCAGAACGAGGGCGACAUCCUGAAGGAGAGCAAAAGGCAAGGACCCUCUUCUAGGAAUUUCCCCUUCUCAGCUAGGAGUACAGCUUGGUCUCAGGUUUAAGAAGAAUAAAUGAAAUGGAGAUACAUUUGAGGCCUGGCUCUGCACACAAAAAUGGAUAAUAGGCUCAUUCUGGCUCUUGCAUCCCAGAUGAAGGUGGAGGUUCCUUCUUCAGGCCUGUCUCCCAUAGAGCCAGAAUUUGCAGCCAGCUGAGUGGAGAGGUGAAAUCUGUCCUUAUCUACCAUUUUUCUGAACAAGUCAGAUUCUUCACGGAGGCACGGGUGCCAGGGAAGGAGUUGGAGAUCUCAUCUGACAACUUUCAGGUGGACUUAUUCUAAAGCUGAAGUACAUGCAAGUAUGAGAAUGGAAACAACUCAGAGGGCUAAUCUUUUCAGUAUCAAGCCUAGAACUUUUGAGAUUUGAUUUCUUUUUUUUUUUUUGCGGUACGCGGGCCUCUCACUGUUGUGGUCUCUCCCGUUGCGGAGCACAGGCUCUGGACAUGCAGUCCCAGCGGCCAUGGCUCACGGGCCCAGCCGCUCCGCGGCAUGUGGGAUCCUCCCGGACCAGGGCACGAACCCGUGUCCCCUGCAUUGGCAGGCGGACUCUCAACCACUGCGCCACCAGGGAAGCCCAAUAAAAGACUUUAAAAGCUAUGGUUAAACACCUGAUUGCAAUGCAAUUGGCAAAGAAACUUGGUUACUGCUGUGACGUACAAUAUUUUAAGAUAAUAACUAGAGUUAUGACUGAUAAUAUUCUACCAAGACAUAUUAAAAUCUUAGAAGUUUCAUGUAAUUUCUAGAAUAUCUAUAUUAAUGACAUUUACCCAUAAAGUAUAACCUAAGAAGGCUUGUCUCCAACCACUUGACAAUAUUUCCCAUGUAAUUUAACAUACUGAAUAAUCCUAAUUAGUUUAAUCUCUCUCUCUGAGAUACUUUAGGGGCCCUCUGAAGCAUCUCAAAGCUAGCUAGAGGUCAAAAGAACUUCAAUUAGAAUUUGACUCUCAGGAAGUUUGUCAGAAAUAUCAAAAUGUUUCAAAAUAUUUGGUCAAAUAGGAUCAUAGGUCACUGUGAAACAAUAUUUAUUUAGUAAAAGUGACAAUAAAAGAUUUCAAAUGCAAAUACAGAAAGUUACAAUAAAGUACUUAAAAGAUAAAAAAAAUACAAUCUGUUAUCAAAAGCAGCUUGCUAUUCCAAAAACAAACAAACAAACAAAUAAAUUUGUUCUCUUAACAGAGAGAGAGAAACCAAAUUCAGGUUUUUCACCAUCCUGCUUUUAAUACUAAAAUUCAUUUACUCAAUUAAAUUCAUUCUAAUCUUAGUCAGUCCUGACCACACAUAGAAUUCCUUUGUAAAGAUUCUUUUUUUUCCUCUUGCAUACCUUCUAUAACUUUCC